GCCGAGAUAGGGUGCAGGUGGCUGGGCAUGGAGCUGGCCUGAAGGGGGCCAGAACCGGCAUUUGACCACAACCUCAGACUGGGAAAGGGGGUGAAGGAAAAAUGAAAAAUAGGUGAGAAUUGCACCAAGGGAAUUUUGUUUUUGGAACCUAAAGCCAUUUUUUAUAAAAUGGCCAAGGUUUUUUGGCUCUUCAAGUAUUUAAUAAACGGUUAUAUGUUUUAUAAGCCUAAAUUGGGAAAAAUCCAGCAUGAUGAAGAGUUAGGGCUUGAGAAGCGUCCCAUCUGGGUCCCGGUAAUGCUCUCCUGCUAAGCAGGCAUGGGACUGAGGCCCAAUGUCACCCCACAGGCCACGUGUCACAAGGCAGCUUAGGGGUUUUUAAAAAAGAAAAUAAACUCUCCAAGUUAAAUAUUUAAACCUCAGGCUAGAAGGUGACAGCAAGUGUCAGUAUAUUGUCAAAGGAAACUUCUAGGAGCUUAAAAUUACCUCUAAGAUAUUGACUGACUCAGACUUUCUAGAAAGACCCAAGCCUGCAGGGGACCAGCUGGAUGCCCAUCUGUGACACCUCCUGUCAAGCUGAGUGGUGACCUUUGCCCUGAAAGAGGAGAAAAUUCUGUAAAUUAUGAAUUGACUUGGAGAAAUUGACUUCUUUUGACGUUGAGUCAUCUUAUCCAAGAACAUGUUCUUCAUCAUGUGUGUCUUUGUGGAAGAGAGAUGGAAGCCCUGCUCAGACAGGUAGCCACAGGUCCAUCGAGUAGCUGACUUCUGGAGACACAAGCCCAUGUUUUAAGAACGGAGUUGAGUAUCUCUGAUCCUCUAUGGUUGUGUCCUUACUUAAUUUGUUGUGCUUUAUAUUUGGAGCAUAACCUCUGGAAAUUACAUGAUACACUAACUUUUCUUUACAAUUUAACGUGUGUCACGUAGCACAUUUUAUGGAAUCGGAAGUUCCAGUUUGCUCUUCCUUAUGAAAUCAACGGCUGAAAUAAACACUUUAUAUAGGAUUAAAAAAUUAAAGUUGACUUAAAAUAAGGCCAUUCUUCUUGUGGUUUUUAAUGAGGUGAAAUUCACAUAACAUAAAAUCAACCAUU